UACAGAGGGUGCAAGCGUUGCUCGGAUUUAUUGGGCGUAAAGCGCGCGUAGACGGUUGGAAAGGUCGGGCGUGAAAGCCCCAGGCUCAACCUGGGAACGGCGCUCGAAACCAUCCAGCUUGAGGUUGGGAGAGGGAGGCGGAAUUCCUGGUGUAGAGGUGAAAUUCGUAGAUAUCAGGAGGAACACCAGCGGCGAAGGCGGCUUCCUGGCCCAAACCUGACGUUCAGGCGCGAAAGCGUGGGUAGCAAACAGG
rnacentral:rRNA from 1 species